UACGUAGGGUGCGAGCGUUAAUCGGAAUUACUGGGCGUAAAGGGUGCGUAGGCGGCACGGUAAGUCAGAGGUGAAAUCCCGGAGCUCAACUUCGGAAUGGCCUCCGAUACUGCCGUGCUUGAGGACUGGAGAGGAGUCUGGAAUUCACAGUGGAGCAGUGAAAUGCGUAGAUAUUGUGAGGAACACUAGUGGCGAAGGCGAGACUCUGGACAGUUCCUGACGCUGAGGCACGAAGGCCAGGGGAGCAAACGGG
rnacentral:rRNA from 1 species